UAGGGGAGGCACCAUUAGGGAAUAUUGGKCAAUGGRUGAAAKUYUGACCCAGCCAUGCCGCGUSCAGGAAGAVGGCCUUAUGGGUGGUAAACUGCUUUUUUCAGGGAAGAAAAHUUCCUUGCGAGGAAAAUUGAAGGUACCUGGUGAAUAAGCCCCGGCUAACUCCGUGCCAGCAGCCGCGGUAAUACGGAGGGGGCAAGCGUUGUCCGGAUUUAUUGGGUUUAAAGGGUGCGUAGGCGGCCUUUUAAGUCAGUGGUGAAAUMUCCCGGCUUAACUGGGAAAGUGCCAUUGAUACUGUUGGGCUUGAGUWCAGWCGAGGUAGGCGGAAUUGAYGGUGUAGCGGUGAAAUGCUUAGAUAUCGUCAAGAACACCGAUAGCGAAGGCAGCUUACUAGGCUGUAACUGAUCGCUGAGGCAMGAAAGUGUGGGGAUCAAACAGGAUUAGAUAUCCCUGGUMGU
rnacentral:rRNA from 1 species